rnacentral:rRNA from 1 species
AUUGAACGCUGGCGGCAGGCCUAACACAUGCAAGUCGAACGAGUGGCGGACGGGUGAGUAAUGUCUGGGAAACUGCCUGAUGGAGGGGGAUAACUACUGGAAAGGGUAGCUAAUACCGCAUACCAUCAGAUGUGAACAGAUGGGAUUAGCUAGUGGGUGGGGUAAGGGCUCACAAAGGCCACGAUCCCUAGCUGGUCUGAGAGGAUGACCAGCCAAACUGGAACUGAGCCAUGGUCCAGACUCCUACCGGAGGAAGCAGUGGGGAAUAUUGCACAAUGGGCGCAAGCCUGAUGCAGCCAUGCCGCGUGGAUGAAGAAGGCCUUCGGGUUGUAAAGUACUUUCAGCGGGGAGGCGUUACCCGCAGAAGAAGCACCGGCUAACUCCGUGCCAGCAGCCGCGGUAAUAC